CGGGACGGGUGAGUAACGCGUGGGUAACCUGCCUCAUACAGGGGGAUAACAGUUAGAAAUGGCUGCUAAUACCGCAUAAGCGCACGGUACUGCAUGGUACAGUGUGAAAAACUCCGGUGGUAUGAGAUGGACCCGCGUUGGAUUAGCUAGUUGGCAGGGUAACGGCCUACCAAGGCGACGAUCCAUAGCCGGCCUGAGAGGGUGGACGGCCACAUUGGGACUGAGACACGGCCCAG
rnacentral:rRNA from 1 species